AGAAAGGAACUUAUUUCAACAUUAUAUCAGUUUCAUCUCAUGAGUGAUGAUCACUGUCGGUGUGCUGGUGACUACUUGUGCAAUUUGGCAGUAUGUUUGUUUUCCUGGCCGAAAAGUAUCGUGAACAAGUUCAAAACUAUAUGAAACGACUGGCAUUAACGAGCCAGUUGGAAAUUUUAAUGAAAGAAAUAAAUUGUGCCAAUGACUUCCACAUCAUUUUGAACCACAGGAAAACCGUCGAAUUGACAUGAUUUGUUAUGGUGAUCCACAUGGUCACUCAGCAAUGGCACGUACUGUUGGGCUUCCUGUGGCGAUUGCUACAAAGAUGGUACUGGAUGGGGACUUGAAAGCCAAAGGUGUUGUUCGACCUCUUAGCCGCGAAAUUUACAAGCCAUUGCUCACCCGACUCAAAGCGGAAGGAAUAGACAGUGAAAUGACGACAACGGUUCUGUGAGACGAAAAUCCAAGAAGUAGAAAAAACGGAAGCAAACUACUGGGUCGCCUAAAGAGACCCCAGUUUUUGUGUUCUAAGGAUUUUUUUUUCUGUUUAAUUCAAGUGUGAAAGUUUAGAUGGAAGGGUUUUGUAGUGGAAUACUGUAGGCAGCCUGCCAGAAUUUUGGCCCGGAUUUGGUUCAUAUGGAGUGAACCUUAAACAUACCGCUUAGUCGUUGACAAGGAAAUCUGGAUAAAAGCAGAGAGAACGAGGUUCACGGGAACUGGGUACGAGGUUGAUCGCCCGUGAAUUUCAUGGUGAUAUUCUAAGAAGAAAUUAGCUAAUGGUCACUUUCGGGGAUGAAAGUGUCUUGAAUUGUUAUAGUAGCGAGGAAGCACUCUUUUGGAUAAACUAUUUACAAGGUUUUGAGCAGUUAUUACGUGAUGUUUAUUUUUAGAGUCACGCAAGAUUCAUCGAACCAAAAUAUUCUUUAUACUUAUUUAUUGGUUUAAUUGUACCGCAUAUACCUAUGUGGUAACUUCUAAGACUUCGAAAGUCAUCUUAACGUAAAUGUCUGGUAGUAAAGGACUGUAAGAUAGAUAUUUUCUUCAGUGAUGUAAGUAUAAGACAAAUCUGUUACUACUGCUGAAAGUCUGAUUAUUUUUUAUACACAAAUGGCUUUUUUAUAUAUUUAAAGCUAUUUAAAUUUCAAACGAGGCCCCGAAAGAGGCUCUCUUGAAAUAGUACUUCACUAACUGCUUUGCCGAUGUUUGGCAAAUCGUUGCAGAAAGGCCCGGAGGAGCUUUCGAUUCUUCUUAUUCGAUCAAAUCGUAGUUACUCUAAAGUAUUAUUUACUUCGGUGAAGCGCCAGUUGAGAUUUCAUGUUGCUUAGUAACCUCUGACAAAAGCUCAACUUUCGACUGGAGGAAAAGGUAUUGAACGUAAUCUGACAAGAGAAAAACUCUCUUGAAUUUUAACGAUAUAUGCUUGGGGUGUUGGAUGUAUUGAAUUAUUUAAUCGAUAACGUGUAAAUCUAUUUGCAUUUUAAAAGUAGCUUUGCUGUACAUGUCCUGCUGUUGGAAAUAAUCACGGUAAUGGAGUUUAAGUCCAAAUGUAAUUGACCUGUCUCUAAUUGUAGCUUUUUCAGAGUUCCUCAAUUAAUAAAUUAUUUACAAUAUUAUGA
rnacentral:lncRNA from 1 species